GACGAACGCUGGCGGCGUGCUUAACACAUGCAAGUCGAGCGGAAAGGCCCUGCUUUUGUGGGGUGCUCGAGUGGCGAACGGGUGAGUAACACGUGAGUAACCUGCCCUUGACUUUGGGAUAACUUCAGGAAACUGGGGCUAAUACCGGAUAGGAGCUCCUGCUGCAUGGUGGGGGUUGGAAAGUUUCGGCGGUUGGGGAUGGACUCGCGGCUUAUCAGCUUGUUGGUGGGGUAGUGGCUUACCAAGGCUUUGACGGGUAGCCGGCCUGAGAGGGUGACCGGCCACAUUGGGACUGAGAUACGGCCCAGACUCCUACGGGAGGCAGCAGUGGGGAAUAUUGCACAAUGGGCGGAAGCCUGAUGCAGCAACGCCGCGUGCGGGAUGACGGCCUUCGGGUUGUAAACCGCUUUCGCCUGUGACGAAGCGUGAGUGACGGUAAUGGGUAAAGAAGCACCGGCUAACUACGUGCCAGCAGCCGCGGUGAUACGUAGGGUGCGAGCGUUGUCCGGAUUUAUUGGGCGUAAAGGGCUCAUAGGUGGUUGAUCGCGUCGGAAGUGUAAUCUUGGGGCUUAACCCUGAGCGUGCUUUCGAUACGGGUUGACUUGAGGAAGGUAGGGGAGAAUGGAAUUCCUGGUGGAGCGGUGGAAUGCGCAGAUAUCAGGAGGAACACCAGUGGCGAAGGCGGUUCUCUGGGCCUUUCCUGACGCUGAGGAGCGAAAGCGUGGGGAGCGAACAGGCUUAGAUACCCUGGUAGUCCACGCUGUAAACGGUGGGUACUAGGUGUGGGGUCCAUUCCACGGGUUCCGUGCCGUAGCUAACGCUUUAAGUACCCCGCCUGGGGAGUACGGCCGCAAGGCUAAAACUCAAAGGAAUUGACGGGGCCCCGCACAAGCGGCGGAGCAUGCGGAUUAAUUCGAUGCAACGCGUAGAACCUUACCUGGGUUUGACAUGGAUCGGGAGUGCUCAGAGAUGGGUGUGCCUCUUUUGGGGUCGGUUCACAGGUGGUGCAUGGCUGUCGUCAGCUCGUGUCGUGAGAUGUUGGGUUAAGUCCCGCAACGAGCGCAACCCUUGUUCACUGUUGCCAGCACGUUAUGGUGGGGACUCAGUGGAGACCGCCGGGGUCAACUCGGAGGAAGGUGGGGAUGACGUCAAGUCAUCAUGCCCCUUAUGUCCAGGGCUUCACGCAUGCUACAAUGGCUGGUACAGAGAGUGGCGAGCCUGUGAGGGUGAGCGAAUCUCGGAAAGCCGGUCUCAGUUCGGAUUGGGGUCUGCAACUCGACCUCAUGAAGUCGGAGUCGCUAGUAAUCGCAGAUCAGCAACGCUGCGGUGAAUACGUUCCCGGGGCU
rnacentral:rRNA from 1 species